ACGAACGCUGGCGGCGUGCUUAACACAUGCAAGUCGCACGGAAAGGCCCUGCUUUUGUGGGGUGCUCGAGUGGCGAACGGGUGAGUAACACGUUAGUAACCUGCCCUUGACUUUGGGAUAACUUCAGGAAACUGGGGCUAAUACCGGAUAGGAGCUCCUGCUGCAUGGUGGGGGUUGGAAAGUUUCGGCGGUUGGGGAUGGACUCGCGGCUUAUCAGCUUGUUGGUGGGGUAGUGGCUUACCAAGGCUUUGACGGGUAGCCGGCCUGAGAGGGUGACCGGCCACAUUGGGACUGAGAUACGGCCCAGACUCCUACGGGAGGCAGCAGUGGGGAAUAUUGCACAAUGGGCGGAAGCCUGAUGCAGCAACGCCGCGUGCGGGAUGACGGCCUUCGGGUUGUAAACCGCUUUCGCCUGUGACGAAGCGUGAGUGACGGUAAUGGGUAAAGAAGCACCGGCUAACUACGUG
rnacentral:rRNA from 1 species